AUACUCUGGUUUCUCUUCAGAUCGUAUAAAUCUUUCGCCUUUUACUAAAGAUUUCCGUGGAGAGGAACAACUCUGAGUCGUAACCCAGUUUUUUGAGGCCUUGUUCUGGCAAGGCU
ensembl:snRNA U5 U5 spliceosomal RNA